GGGGCGGUCGCCAAGUCUGGUAAGGCUCAGAGCUCGCAAUUCUGCAUCACCAGUUCGAAUCUGGUUCGCCCCUCCA
rnacentral:tRNA from 1 species